rnacentral:rRNA from 1 species
GCUCGGCCAUAAACCUAGACGUCCAGCUACAAUUAGACGUCCGCCCGGGUACUACGAGCAUUAGCUUGAAACCCAAAGGACCUGACGGUGCCUUAGACCCCCCUAGAGGAGCCUGUUCUAGAACCGAUAACCCCCGUUAAACCUCACCACUUCUAGCCACCCCAGCCUAUAUACCGCCGUCGUCAGCUUACCCUGUGAAGGCAAUAAAAGUAAGCAAGAUGGGCACAGCCCAGAACGUCAGGUCGAGGUGUAGCGUACGAAGCGGGAAGAAAUGGGCUACAUUUUCUACAAUAGAACACUACGGACAUGCAACAUGAAAUAGUGCUUGAAGGAGGAUUUAGUAGUAAAAAGGAAGCAGAGUGUCCUUUUGAACCCGG